rnacentral:rRNA from 1 species
UACGUAGGGGGCGAGCGUUUGUCCGGAUUCAUUGGGCGUAAAGAGCUCGUAGGCGGUUCGGUAAGUCAGGUGUGAAAACUCCAGGCUCAACUUGGAGACGCCACCUGAUACUGUCGUGACUAGAGUCCGGUAGGGGAGCAUGGAAUUCCUGGUGUAGCGGUGAAAUGCGCAGAUAUCAGGAGGAACACCAGCGGCGAAGGCGGUGCUCUGGGCCGGAACUGACGCUGAGGAGCGAAAGCGUGGGGAGCGAACAGG